AUGAACUCUUCUCUAGGCUUGGUCACUGUGGUACUCUUAGUGCUUGGACGAACCCGUGGAGACUCGGUGACCCAGACAAAAGGUCAAGUGACCCUUUCAGAAGGAGCUUCCCUGACUGUGAACUGCUCUUAUGAAAUCACAAGGUAUCCCAGUCUUCUCUGGCAUGUUCAGUAUCCUGGAGAAGGUCCACAGCUCCUGAAUGCCACAAAAGCCAAUGAGAAGGGAAGCAGCAGACGAUCUGAAGCCACAUCCCAUAAACAACUAAAUACCAUCCACUUGGAGAAAGGCUCAGUCUGCGAGUCAGAUUCGGCCAUGAGCUACUGUGCACUGAUUGACACAGUGACAAACUGCAGGGGGAACUGA